GAGCUUGCUCCCUUAGGUCAGCGGCGGACGGGUGAGUAACACGUGGGUAACCUGCCUGUAAGACUGGGAUAACUCCGGGAAACCGGGGCUAAUACCGGAUGCUUGAUUGAACCGCAUGGUUCAAUCAUAAAAGGUGGCUUUCAGCUACCACUUACAGAUGGACCCGCGGCGCAUUAGCUAGUUGGUGAGGUAACGGCUCACCAAGGCGACGAUGCGUAGCCGACCUGAGAGGGUGAUCGGCCACACUGGGACUGAGACACGGCCCAGACUCCUACGGGAGGCAGCAGUAGGGAAUCUUCCGCAAUGGACGAAAGUCUGACGGAGCAACGCCGCGUGAGUGAUGAAGGUUUUCGGAUCGUAAAACUCUGUUGUUAGGGAAGAACAAGUACCGUUCGAAUAGGGCGGCACCUUGACGGUACCUAACCAGAAAGCCACGGCUAACUACGUGCCAGCAGCCGCGGUAAUACGUAGGUGGCAAGCGUUGUCCGGAAUUAUUGGGCGUAAAGCGCGCGCAGGCGGUUUCUUAAGUCUGAUGUGAAAGCCCCCGGCUCAACCGGGGAGGGUCAUUGGAAACUGGGGAACUUGAGUGCAGAAGAGGAGAGUGGAAUUCCACGUGUAGCGGUGAAAUGCGUAGAGAUGUGGAGGAACACCAGUGGCGAAGGCGA
rnacentral:rRNA from 1 species